CCUUUCCGCUCGGUUGUCUUCCUGUGCAGGAGCCGCAGGGCCGUAGGCAGCCAUGGCGCCUAGCCGGAAUGGCAUGAUCUUGAAGCCCCACUUCCACCAGGACUGGCAGCGGCGCGUGGCCACGUGGUUCAACCAGCCGGCCCGGAAGAUCCGCAGACUCAAGGCCCAGCGCCCCGCGUCGGGGCCCAUCCGGCCCAUCGUGCGCUGCCCCACGGUUCGGUACCACACGAAGGUGCGCGCUGGCCGCGGCUUCAGCCUGGGGGAGCUCAGGGUGGCCGGCAUUCACAAGAAGGUGGCCCGGACCAUCGGCAUUUCUGUGGAUCCGAGGAGGCGGAACAAGUCCACGGAGUCCCUGCAGGCCCACGUGCAGCGGCUGAAGGAGUUCCAAACUCAUCCUCUUCCCCAGGAAGCCCUCGGCCCCCAAGAAGGGAGACAGUUCUGCUGAAGAACUGAAACUGGCCACCCAGCUGACGGGACCGGUCAUGCCCAUUCGGAAUGUCUACAAGAAGGAGAAAGCUCGAGUCAUGACUGAGGAGGAGAAGAAUUUCAAAGCCUUCGCUAGUCUCCGCAUGGCCCAUGCCAACGCCCGACUCUUCGGCAUAAGGGCAAAAAGAGCCAAGGAAGCCACAGAACAGGAUGUUGAAAAGAAAAAAUAAAGCCCUCUUGGGGACUUGUAAUCAGUCAGCAGUCAAAAAAAAAAAAAAAAAAAAAAAAAAAAAAAAAAAAAAAAA